GCGCGAGAGAGCUUGCUCUCUUGGCGGCGAGUGGCGGACGGGUGAGUAAUAUAUCGGAACGUGCCCAGUAGCGGGGGAUAACUACUCGAAAGAGUGGCUAAUACCGCAUACGCCCUACGGGGGAAAGGGGGGGAUCGCAAGACCUCUCACUAUUGGAGCGGCCGAUAUCGGAUUAGCUAGUUGGUGGGGUAAAGGCUCACCAAGGCAACGAUCCGUAGCUGGUUUGAGAGGACGACCAGCCACACUGGGACUGAGACACGGCCCAGACUCCUACGGGAGGCAGCAGUGGGGAAUUUUGGACAAUGGGGGAAACCCUGAUCCAGCCAUCCCGCGUGUAUGAUGAAGGCCUUCGGGUUGUAAAGUACUUUUGGCAGAGAAGAAAAGGUAUCCCCUAAUACGGGAUACUGCUGACGGUAUCUGCAGAAUAAGCACCGGCUAACUACGUGCCAGCAGCCGCGGUAAUACGUAGGGUGCAAGCGUUAAUCGGAAUUACUGGGCGUAAAGCGUGUGUAGGCGGUUCGGAAAGAAAGAUGUGAAAUCCCAGGGCUCAACCUUGGAACUGCAUUUUUAACUGCCGAGCUAGAGUAUGUCAGAGGGGGGUAGAAUUCCACGUGUAGCAG
rnacentral:rRNA from 1 species